UGACUUUUCAUUUUGUUGCCUGUUAAGUC
rnacentral:piRNA from 1 species